rnacentral:rRNA from 1 species
UACGUAGGGUGCGAGCGUUAAUCGGAAUUACUGGGCGUAAAGGGUGCGCAGGCGGUUUUGUAAGCCAGAUGUGAAAUCCCCGGGCUCAACCUGGGAAUGGCAUUUGGGACUGCAAGGCUAGAGUGUGGCAGAGGAGACUGGAAUUCCCGGUGUAGCAGUGAAAUGCGUAGAUAUCGGGAGGAAUACCGAUGGCGAAGGCAGGUCUCUGGGCCGUAACUGACGCUGAGGAGCGAAAGCAUGGGGAGCGAACAGG